UUAAGUUCAGCGGGUAUUCCUACCCGAUCCGAGGUCAAACUUGUGUUCGGUGCGUGACCGAUGCGAACGCGCAAGGCAGUCGUGCGAGCUUCGCGCCAGUAAGUGGUUACGGCGGCCGCUACGGCACUCCCAUUUACUAAUCAAUAGCCAACGCAUUUGGGGUCGGGAUGGCCCCGGGACCCAAUACCAAGCCAGGCUUG
rnacentral:misc_RNA from 1 species